rnacentral:rRNA from 1 species
UACGAAGGGGGCUAGCGUUGUUCGGAAUUACUGGGCGUAAAGCGCACGUAGGCGGGUCGUUAAGUCAGGGGUGAAAUCCCGGAGCUCAACUCCGGAACUGCCUUUGAUACUGGCGAUCUUGAGAUCGGAAGAGGUGAGUGGAAUUCCCAGUGUAGAGGUGAAAUUCGUAGAUAUUGGGAAGAACACCGGUGGCGAAGGCGGCUCACUGGCUCGUUUCUGACGCUCAGGCGCGACAGCGUGGGAUCAACAGG